GUGAUUUGUUUUGUUUGACUGUCCAACAGACACUUUAGGUAAAUAAGUAAGGUGUCACCAACUGGCUAUAAAAUCACAGGACCAAGGCCUUUAUCUUGGCCAUAUAGCAACAACCACCGAUACCUGACACUUUAGGUGAAUAAGUAACUGUCUAUAAAUCACAGGACUGAGGCAUUGAUCUUGGCCAUAUAGCAUCAACCAAUGAUACCUGCCCUUAACAAUCGAAAGACAUGGAGAUUACCACUAACGUGUUUUCCAAUGGCACGGAAUCUGCCCGACGUAAUGGGCCAUCAACCCAAUGUCUGGGCCAUACAUACUGGAUUUCCGUUGCAAUAAGUGACCUUUCGUGUAUCUUCAUUGGACAACCUGUGAUUGCAAAACUGCUAUGGACCGCCUUUCACUCAAAGAAGACGGACGUCCUCAAUAUCAAUUUGGGUCUCUUUCACAACUUCCAAUACCUGCUAACCACUAUACACUUGGGUUUCAUAUAUCAAUUUAACAAGGAUCCAAGUUUAAAAAUUGUUUCUUUCAUAAGUGUGUAUCUUCUCAUAGGAGGCCCGCUGACUUUAUCCUUCAUCUGUUUGGGGCGGUACAUUGCUGUGAUCCAUCCCGCCUUCUACCCACUGUUGAAAAGGUACAGAUGUAGGGAGGGUUGUGCUCUGUCAAUGUGGUUUCUAGUGCUGCCCACUGCCACGAUUAAAUACUUUUUAAUUGAAUUCAAAAUUAGCAAUCAGAUUGUAAUAGACUACAUGGUGUACACUGUAAUGUUCCUCAUGCUGAUUGUAAUAGCAUGGUGCGAACACGCUAUUCUGAAGGCACUCAGAAUCUCGGGGCCUGCGACUGAUAAAUUACAUCCUGCCAAAAAGCGAGCUUUUCAAACUAACCGUGCCAUUGCAAUCAUUGCAUCGAUGUGUUACAUUCCAGUUGGUGGAUUAAUUUCAUGCACAUUGAUAAAAGGAAAUGAAACAAUUUGUUCAACAAUUCCUGCCAUCCUAUUCCUGGUAUCGAUUGCUAGUGUUGCGCAUCCCAUAUUUUACCUGUCAACUACGGGGAACCUGCCUUGCCUAAUCAUCACAGAUUCCAUAAGAAACUGGCGUCAUGUGGCGUCAG